rnacentral:rRNA from 1 species
AGCAGCCGCGGUAAUUCCAGCUCCAAUAGCGUAUAUUAAAGUUGCUGCAGUUAAAAAAGCUCGUAGUUGAAUUUCGGGAUCAAUAUGUUGGUCGUGCCUUGGUACGUACUAGCUUAUUGGUUUCUCCCUUCUGACGAACCAUGAUGUCAUUAAUUUGGUGUUGUGGGGAAUCAGGACUGUUACUUUGAAAAAAAUUAGAGUGUUUAAAGCAGGCUCACGCUUGAAUACAUUAGCAUGGAAUAAUGAAAUAGGACGUUUGAUUCUAUUUUGUUGGUUUCUAGGAUCGACGUAAUGAUUAAUAGGGAUAGUUGGGGGCAUUAGUAUUCAAUUGUCAGAGGUGAAAUUCUUGGAUUUAUUGAAGACUAACUACUGCGAAAGCAAUUUGCCAAGGAUGUUUUCAUUAAUCAAGAACGAAAGUUAGGGGAUCGAAGACGAUCAGAUACCGUCGUAGUCUUAACCAUAAACUAUGCCGACUAGGGAUCGGAUGAUGUUAAUUUUUAAUGA